rnacentral:lncRNA from 1 species
GGAGCCACGACCAUUGAGCCCGGCCGCGAGGGCCCGAUCCUGGGGGCCGGGGCGCUGGGUCCGCUCCGCCCCCACUCAGCGCGGGGCCGAGCCCGGGGAAGGGCCGCGUACCUGGCGGAGACAAUGACCGCGUCAGGCCUCCUCCCAGCGCAGCCGGGGCAGCCGCCGGAGCGUGUUCUUGGAGAGGAGGAAGAGUCCGGGAACACCACCCCCCGGCCACCAUCGGGGCUCACAAUCCCCUCUGAGAGGGCUAGAGGUGGCACAGGGAGGGCUGGCCCCUCUCUGAGUGACUGAGAUGGGAAGAAAAACUGAUGCCCCAGGACCCUGGUAAUUUCUGUGGCAGCCUCAUGGCCAUAGGAAGACCCAUGGACAGCAGCUGUGGUGAGGUGUACCAGGUAGGGAUAGCAGUAGGUAGACAGUGGCACUGCAUUCAGAUGCAACAUGGCACAGGGAGUCUGAAGCUUCUGUGGGAGGUGUGCUUGUGUGAGCAUGAGCGUGUGUGUGUGUGUGUGUGUGUGUGUGUGUGUAGGCACAUUGUAUGCAGAACCAAAAGAAUUAGGAGUGAAAGAGCAAGGCCAGUGCCUCAAAAGCUAGAGAAUGCAGGGCGUGGUGGCACACACCUGUAAUACCAGCACUCAGGAGACUGUGGCAGGAGGAUUGCCACAUGUUUAGGGCCAUCCUGAGCUACAUAACAAGUUCAAGGCCAGCCUGACCUAUGUAGCAAGACCCUGUCUUAAAACACAAAAAAGGACUGGGGAUGUGGCUCAGUGGCAGAGCAACUGUCAUGCAUAAAGGAGGCCCUGGGCUCAAUUCACUGUGGAUAUGACAGCACUAACACUUCAUUUACAAAGAGAGCCAGAUGCAAGUCACUGAAUCAGCGAGUUAUCGAGUUAUCGCUUACCCGGGUCCCCAAGGCUAGGCCAAGCAUUAGAGCUUGGCUACAGAGAGAAAUCAACCCCCCCCCCCAGCACUUGCAGUCUAAGUGGGAAGCAGGAAUGCUGCAGCAGCAAAGUCAGAUACCUUCUGUCGAGGCCUGGGGCACAGCACCCGCCUGGGGCUGCGGGAACUCAAGGUCACCUCGCGGAGGCGGCAGCGAGAGCCCACU